rnacentral:rRNA from 1 species
AGAGUUUAGAUCAUGGCUCAGAGUGAACGCUGGCGGUAGGCCUAACACAUGCAAGUCGAACGGCAGCACAGGAAAGCUUGCUCUCCGGGUGGCGAGUGGCGGACGGGUGAGGAAUACAUCGGAAUCUACCCUGUCGUGGGGGAUAACGUAGGGAAACUUACGCUAAUACCGCAUACGACCUUCGGGUGAAAGUAGGGGAUCGCAAGACCUUACGCGAUUGGAUGAGCCGAUGUCGGAUUAGCUAGUUGGCGGGGUAAAAGCCCACCAAGGCGACGAUCCGUAGCUGGUCUGAGAGGAUGAUCAGCCACACUGGAACUGAGACACGGUCCAGACUCCUACGGGAGGCAGCAGUGGGGAAUAUUGGACAAUGGGCGCAAGCCUGAUCCAGCCAUACCGCGUGGGUGAAGAAGGCCUUCGGGUUGUAAAGCCCUUUUGUCCGGAAAGAAAAGCUUUCGGCUAAUACCCGGAAGUCAUGACGGUACCGGAAGAAUAAGCACCGGCUAACUUCGUGCCAGCAGCCGCGGUAAUACGAAGGGUGCAAGCGUUACUCGGAAUUACUGGGCGUAAAGCGUGCGUAGGUGGUNUGUUAAGUCUGAUGUGAAAGCCCUGGGCUCAACCUGGGAAUUGCACUGGAUACUGGCAGGCUAGAGUGCGGUAGAGGAUGGCGGAAUUCCCGGUGUAGCAGUGAAAUGCGUAGAGAUCGGGGAGGAACAUCCGUGGCGAAGGCGGCCAUCUGGACCAGCACUGACCACUGAGGCACCGAAAGCGUGGGGA